GGUAGCAUCCUUUCUCGACUUCGAUCCCUCAUUUGCUGCCACGGGCCUGGACGGCCUGCGAUCAAUGAGGGUAUCGAAAGUCAUUCCUAUCGAGGGACUUUACCGGGAGCAACCGGGGGCCGAGGCCCCCCAAUGUCCGCUUAAUUUUCCACAUCCGAGAGCACGAGCAGUCACCCUGUGCACCGAUACAGCCACGACAACAGUCAGAGGACAUGUCCGGGACACGGGGUCUGCUUUCGAGGUCCACUUUGCAGCCGCAGAGCCACAAGGGGGAAAGGGGCGGGGGCAAUCUCACGAAACUUUCCGUACGACGGGAAGGCAACACAGGAACCAG
rnacentral:misc_RNA from 1 species